CCUACGGGAGGCAGCAGUGGGGAAUAUUGCACAAUGGGGGAAACCCUGAUGCAGCGACGCCGCGUGAGUGAAGAAGUACUUCGGUACGUAAAGCUCUAUCAGCAGGGAAGAAAAUGACGGUACCUGACUAAGAAGCCCCGGCUAACUACGUGCCAGCAGCCGCGGUAAUACGUAGGGGGCGAGCGUUAUCCGGAUUUACUGGGUGUAAAGGGAGCGUAGACGGCAGCGCAAGUCUGGGGUGAAAUCCCAUGGCUUAACCAUGGAACUGCUUUGGAAACUGUGCAGCUAGAGUGCAGGAGAGGUAAGCGGAAUUCCUAGUGUAGCGGUGAAAUGCGUAGAUAUUAGGAGGAACACCAGUGGCGAAGGCGGCUUACUGGACUGUAACUGACGUUGAGGCUCGAAAGCGUGGGGAGCAAACAGGAUUAGAUACCCCAGUAGUC
rnacentral:rRNA from 1 species